rnacentral:lncRNA from 1 species
GGGGCGUCGGUUUCGGUCCCGCCCGGCUGCGGCCGUUGUUUGCUGGGACAGUCCUUGGGCCGGUCUCCGUCCCUGUCCAGAGGCUCCGUACGUGAGGCGGACUCUCGGGAGCACCGAGCCGGGCGCGGAUAAGGAACGGGGGCAGAAAAGGAGGACCAGGGGCCGAGAAGCCGCUCUGGCUACGAAAUCUCAGACACCGUUGUAAAUGGGUCCUUCACAGCCGCCCGCCCCACGUUAAAACUGAAGAAGAGAUGCAAGGAGGCGGAAGCAGCUUGGGCCUCGGGACCGAGGGUCCUGUGAUCAGCAAGGGAGGACCAGAGAGGCUCAUGCCUCCGUUUUACAGUUACGUGAGGCAGCCCGAGGUAACCAGAUCCACGUCUACGAAGAGGAGAAAUAGAACCUACCGUGGCGGGUUGUUAAGAAGAUUCGCUAAGUUCAUUCAUUUGAAAAACUCAUCACAGAGCUUGACAAACAGGCCUAACCAUUGGCUGCAAUUAUGUUAUCACCACAGGGAGCAAGAACCUUGGCCGCUGUCUUGGUUUCCCGAAUACUUACUGGUCUCCAAUUUUAUGUGACUUUUAAGAUCUGUGUGGGCAUUUUUUAUAUUGGCAUUUGUACUUCACUAGGAAUUUGUCCUUUUAUGUAGAGGUUCACGUGUAUUUGCAUAUAGUUCAUAAUACCCUUGUAUUGUUUUAAAAUCUUAUGUUUGCAGUUAUUUCAUCAUUUUGCCCUGUAUUUUGUUUAUAAUCAUCUUUUGUAAAAAAACCAGACUUGCACAUAUCUGACUUAUUACAAUUUUAAGAGCAUUUUUUGGCUAUAUGCAUUUUUUCAUCAUCUAUUUAUUAUAUCUUUACUUUCAGUUUUGUCCUUUUUUAAAGUUUUCUCUUUUUUUUAGAGGGGAAGGGUUUCUGUCUUCUAAGUUUCUGGGUUGAAUGCUUAGGUCAUUAUUAUCUAACCAUUCUUAUUUCCUUUAAUGACUUAUUUAUUUGGGUCUUGAAAAUUUUGAUGUGUAGCUAUUAUUCAGUUCAAAUUUUUCUUAAUGUUAUUAUAUUACUUAUAGUAUUAAUUUAAUAUUGAUUUUCUUUUUAAAUUUAAGGGCUAUUUAACGUUACUUGGAUUCCAGUACUAUGGGUGUUUUAACUAAUAGUUCCUAAUUUUUACACUGUAGCUAGUAUUCUGCUUUAUGUUGAUCCUUUGGAAUUCACUGAGAUUUCUUCUAUGGGCCAGUACACACCAUCAAUCUUAUGAAGUAUUGUGGGUUCAUGAAAAUAAUGUGUAUUUUGUCUUUUGGGAGUAUAGAGUUCAGCACAGGUGAAAUAGCUGGUGUAGCAGGAGCUCCCUUGGGGCCUGGUGGAGUAAAGGAUACAGCGUUGUCACUGCAGCAGCUUGGGUUGCUGCUGCGGCACAGGAUGAUCCCUAGCCCAGGAACUUCCACAUGCCAUGAACACAGCCAAAACAACAAAAAAAAGACCUCAUGUAUUUAAAAAAAUUUUUUUAAUUACUCAAUGAAUUUUAUUACAUUAAGAGCUCAUUUAUUAAUUGCAUUGCUUAGCCUUUAUAUUGUUGAGUGCUUUUGGCUUUUGCUGGAUCAUUUUCUGAGAGGAGUGUAUUAAUAGCUAUAAUUAUAAUCAAUGGCAUAUAUAUUAUAUCUCCUCACCUUGAAAUUAUGAUAGUUGUUACUUGAUACAUUGUGAAAUUUUAUUUGUGGGUGCAAUUUAAUUAUUUGGGAUAAUUUUGUCUGUUUAUUUACUAGUAUAUUAAAAAUACUGUUUUGUCCCUAAUGAUACACUUUUAAUUGGGGUGUGACUGCCAUAUAGCAUUAUAUCGGUUUUCGUAUGCCACAUGAUUCUAUAUUUGUGUAUGUUGUAAAAUGACCAUCACAGUAAGUCUGGUUAACAUCUAUCACUACCCAUAGUUAACAUUUUUUGAUGUAAAUUUAUCUCAGGUUUUCUAUUACAGCUUUCUUUUGGUUUCUAUUUGUGAGAAAUUUGUUUUUCCAUCCUUUUAUUCCCGCUUUUUUCUUUCGCUGUUUUUUAUUUUUUGCUUUUUAGGGUCGCACCCACAGCACAUGGAGGUUCCCAGGCUAGGGGUCAAAUUGGAGCUACACCACAGCCGCAGCAACGCCGGAUCGCCAACCCCGUGAGUGAGGCCAGGGGUCGAACCCGCAUCCUCGUGGAUACUGGUCGGAUUUGUUUCUGCCGCCCCGCAACAGGAACUCCCCCACAUGUUUUAGUGUAUUUCUUCUAAACCAUGUGAAUCUAUUUUUUAACCUAUAACUCUGCAUCUCUCAGUCUGUAGGCCAAGCCGUUUACAGUUUAUUAUAAUUACCAUUACUUUUGCUGUCAUAUGGCUUCCUCCUCUCCUUCCCCUUUCUGUUUUUGUUCGGAACAAGUUGUCUUCUGGCUUUUUACAAUUAUUAUUAUUUCUACUUUGGUUCUUAUGAUGGUUUCUUUACCUUAAAACCCAUGUUGAAUUCUUCUUACUCUUAUUAACGUCUUCAACUUUUUUUUGGGGGGGGGUGCCUGUGGCAUGUGGAAGUUCUUGGGCCAAGGACUAAACCCACGGCAGAGCAACCCAAGACACUGCAGUGACAAAGCUGGAUCCUUAACCUGCUGUGCCACAGCGGGAACUCCUACUAAACUUUUUUUUAAGUUGAAGUAUAGCUGAUUUACGAUGUCGUGGGAAUUUCUGCUGUUCAUCAAAGUGACUCAGUUUUAAAUAUACACACACAUUAUUUUUAAUCUUCUUUUCCAUUAUCGUUUAUCACAGGAUAUUGAAUUUAGUUUUCUUAAACUUA